GAAGCACUGGAGCUUCCUCCUUUCCCUGAAAUACUGAAACCAAGUGUAUAAGGAGAAAUCAAACAGAUCUGUGUUGUGUUAGUAAUGAGGAAAUUAUUAUGAUAUGGACAAUAUACCAGAAAGUGGAGAAACCACAGAGGGAACCACGCUGGGACUAAAGCUCUGGGGAGAUCAAGGGAAAGGAAAGCUUCACUUUGAUUACUCUCAAGGUUGUGUUAUAUACAGGCUGUUCCCUGGCCUCCCUCCACCCUGGAUGUGCUCAAAUGGCAGCAUGUGUUUUGGCAGGGAACACACUGACUGCUGUCUAGCACACACUAUCCAGUGAGA
rnacentral:lncRNA from 1 species